CAGUACGUUCCCUCAUCCACAGCAAACAGUGGCCCUGGCCCCAGUCCCCCUGGGAAGCCAGGAGCCCUUGGACGUCACGCCCCUGUACCUGACAGCCUCCUCCUCCUCUGCUAGAGAAGGUUGCUGCUGUGUCCUGCCUGCCAUCGGCCCUACACUGAAGGGUGUCUCCCCGGGACCUUGACCUCUGACUUAGUAUCUUCAAACAAGCCCUUUCUCUAAUCGUGGGCUUCCUGGCAAGGGGAUUUGAGGCGUUCAUAGAAGCUCGGGGGAUGUUUUCAGGGCCAGCAGAGUCUCUACUCAUUGGAACUCAAUGAGAAUUCCACUAUGCAAGCUCGAGGCUGCCUGUGCCUGGAGAGAAAUUAAAUUCAGACUUGAAAGCAUAAAUAAAUAUAUUAUCCUCCUGCCUGCGCCGGUGACUCAGCUUCAAAAGCAUUCAAUCCCAACGAGAGCGUCUCCUGUGCUUUUUCUACAUGAAGCUUAAGUGAUUCGGAUAUUCUGUUAUUCAACGGGAUGAGUAGAUGACUCAGGCCACAGGGCAACUGACUUCCUCUGAAGUCUCAAGUCUGGAGUCGAAAACGCAA